UACAGAGGGUGCAAGCGUUAUCCGGAAUUAUUGGGCGUAAAGCGUCCGCAGGUGGUUGGGCAAGUCUGCUGUCAAAGCGUCUGGCUCAACCAGAUAAAGGCAGUGGAAACUACAUAGCUAGAGUAAGGUAGGGGUAGAGGGAAUUCCUGGUGUAGCGGUGAAAUGCGUAGAGAUCAGGAAGAACACCGGUGGCGAAAGCGCUCUGCUGGACCUUAACUGACACUGAGGGACGAAAGCUAGGGGAGCGAAUGGG
rnacentral:rRNA from 1 species